AAUAAAGAACAACCUGAUCUCCAUAUACAAUUAUAUUAAGAGUGUGUUUACUUUGAUAGAAAAGAUUAAAAAAAAUAUAUUUUUCAUUAUUUUUAUAUGUUUCCUAUGAUGGAUAAUUUUUUCCGGUCAGACUAGAAAAUUUAUUCGGGCAGCCCUUCACUCAUUUUCUCAUAAAUGUUGGGUAAUAUUAUCCUAUUGGAAGGGUGCGAAAAUAUUUUCCAACAUUUCAAUCUUUUUAACUUUUCAAUUUUACCCUCUGAAAAUGUAAGGUUAGGCGAUUCUCUCAUUCUCUCCUGCAAACAUUAGAAAUCCCAAAAAUCUUCUCUGAUCAGCGCCGCUCUGCUCAGCCCCGGUGGCCGCUCCACCCAGCUCCACCGUCUGCCUCGCCACCUGCUUGAUUAUCGAGUGCUCGUGAGUGGUCUCUCUCCCGCUGUCUCAGUCUCGACCGUCGCUCCGCCGUCUGCCUCCCAUCGCCAUUGCUGAAUAUCACCGGCAGGAUGGGCAAAUCAAGACGGUCUUGGACCCACGAAGAACAGGCAGCAUUAGUUGAUGCACUGAAGUUUUGCCUCGAUGACGAAGCGCGGCUCGAAUUUGUUACCCAAUUGAAUCGGGAGUUGUUUUGAAGGAUAGUUAUUUUGAAGUAUUUUGAAUGAUUUUGCUUCUAUAUUUUAGAACUCUGUUUUGUUAGAUGUUCUUAUCAACCUCGUAUCUAAGAGAACAAAAUUGAUCUUUUGAGUUUGACAGUAGGAUUGCAAGUAAAGAAGCAUUCUAUGAUGCAACUUGUUUA